rnacentral:rRNA from 1 species
AAAGUAAUAAAUCUAUAAUAUUAAUCUUAUAUAUUACAUAUGCUUUUCACUAAUUUUUUUGAGGAUAAGCUCAAAAAAGAGUUAAGAAUUUUUUAAUUAAAUUUACUGUAUGGGCUUAAAAUUGGUCAAUAUAAAAGUUUUUUAUAAAAUAGUAACCUUAGUCUUAUAAAUAAAUAUAAUUUUAACUAACUUUUUACAGGGACAAAAACUUUAAUUUAAAUAAGUUUUAUGCCUAUGCUAGAAUGAGUAUUAAAACUUAAUUAUGAAAGAUUUAUUUGUAUCUUCCUAAAAAAAAAUUAAAAAAGUUAAUUAAUUAGAAGGAACUCGGCAAAAUUAGUUGUUUCGCCUGUUUAUCAAAAACAUGGCUCUUUGAUUAUAUAAAUAUAAAGAGUCGGACCUGCCCGGUGAAAAUUUUUAACGGCCGCGGUACUCUGACCGUGCAAAGGUAGCAUAAUCAUUUGCCUUAUAAUUGAAGGCUAGUAUGAACGGUUUGACGAGAACAACACUGUCUCCUUUUUAUUUUCAAGAAUUUAACUUUUAGGUGAAGAGGCCUAAAUUUCAUUGAAGGACAAGAAGACCCUGUCGAGCUUAAAAGACACUGUAGAAUCUUAUAUGUUUUCAAAUAAAUUUUCUAUUAAGCUUUUUAGUUGGGGCGACUAAGGAACAAAAAAAGCUUCUUAAAAAUAACAGACAGUCAUGUUUAGAUCCAAUAAAAUUGAUCAAAGAAAUUAGUUACCGCAGGGAUAACAGCAUAAUCUCUCUUGAGAGACCUAAUCGAAAGAGGGGGUUGUGACCUCGAUGUUGGACUAGAAUAUCCUAAAGAUGCAGAAUCUUUGAAGG